rnacentral:rRNA from 1 species
CCUACGGGAGGCUGCAGUGGGGAAUAUUGGACAAUGGGGGGAACCCUGAUCCAGCGACGCCGCGUGAGUGAAGAAGUAUUUCGGUAUGUAAAGCUCUAUCAGCAAGGAAGAAAGAAAUGACGGUACCUGACUAAGAAGCCCCGGCUAACUACGUGCCAGCAGCCGCGGUAAUACGUAGGGGGCAAGCGUUAUCCGGAUUUACUGGGUGUAAAGGGAGCGUAGACGGCGAUGCAAGUCUGAAGUGAAAGGCGGGGGCCCAACCCCCGGACUGCUUUGGAAACUGUAUGGCUGGAGUACAGGAGAGGUAAGUGGAAUUCCUAGUGUAGCGGUGAAAUGCGUAGAUAUUAGGAGGAACACCAGUGGCGAAGGCGGCUUACUGGACUGUAACUGACGUUGAGGCUCGAAAGCGUGGGGAGCAAACAGGAUUAGAUACCCCUGUAGUC